rnacentral:tmRNA from 1 species
GCGGUAGUGCAGCGUUUUUGGGACAGUUGUUCCAGGAGAAGCGGGGAGAGGGUCCAGGGCCAACUUGUUAACGAUCCUUGGGAAUCUAUAAGUGCCGAGAAUACUCGCACUGACUUCGCUCUUGCUGCCUGAUCAGUGAUAGAAGGGUCAGCCCGGAUCCUGGCUUCGUUGCGAGGAUUUGCCGCCCAGUUGUUGUCAUGGUGACUGGGCGGAAUUAUUUCUACGAUCGAGUUUGUUUGCACCAUGUCGGUGUGAGUGCAGAAGCCGAGCAAUAACGACAGCAUCGACUGCGCCCAGAAAAUUUCUGGACGGUCUUUCAAGGACGUGGGUUCAAUUCCCGCCUCCACU